UCCUACGGGAGGCAGCAGUGGGGAAUCUUGCGCAAUGGGCGAAAGCCUGACGCAGCGACGCCGCGUGGGGGAAGAAGGCCUUCGGGUUGUAAACCUCUUUCAGCAGGGACGAAGCCACUCGGGUUAAUAGCCCAGAGGGUGACGGUACCUGCAGAAGAAGCCCCGGCUAACUACGUGCCAGCAGCCGCGGUAAU
rnacentral:rRNA from 1 species